UAAGACGAACCGUGCGAACGUUGUUCGGAAUCACUGGGCUUAAAGGGCGCGUAGGCGGGCGGCCAAGUCAGGGGUGAAAUCUUUCGGCUCAACCGGAAAAGUGCCUCUGAUACUGGCGGUCUCGAGGGAGGUAGGGGUCUGCGGAACUUCCGGUGGAGCGGUGAAAUGCGUAGAUAUCGGAAGGAACGCCGGUGGCGAAAGCGGCGGACUGGACCUCUUCUGACGCUGAGGCGCGAAAGCCAGGGGAGCAAACGGGAUUAGAUACCCCGGUAGUCCUGGCCCUAAACGUUGGGUACUAGGUAGUGGUCUUACAUGGGAUCACUGCCGAAGCAAAAGUGAUAAGUACCCCGCCUGGGGAGUAUGGUCGCAAGGCUG
rnacentral:rRNA from 1 species